rnacentral:rRNA from 1 species
AGUGAACGCUGGCGGUAGGCCUAACACAUGCAAGUCGAACGGCAGCACAGUAAGAGCUUGCUCUUACGGGUGGCGAGUGGCGGACGGGUGAGGAAUACAUCGGAAUCUACUUUUUCGUGGGGGAUAACGUAGGGAAACUUACGCUAGUACCGCAUACGACCUACGGGUGAAAGCAGGGGAUCUUCGGACCUUGCGCGAUUGAAUGAGCCGAUGUCGGAUUAGCUAGUUGGCGGGGUAAAGGCCCACCAAGGCGACGAUCCGUAGCUGGUCUGAGAGGAUGCACCGCCACACUGGAACUGAGACACGUUCCAGCCCCCGACGGGAGGCACCAUUGGGGAAUUUUGGACAAUGGCCGCAGCCUUGAUCCACCCAUGCCGGGGGGUUGAAGACGCCUUUCGGUUUGUAAACCCUUUUUUUGGGGAAAAAAAAGCAGCUGGUUACUCCCCCGCUUUUCGGACGUUCCCCAAAAAAUAAGCACCGGCUAACUUCGUC